UACAGAGGUCUCAAGCGUUGUUCGGAUUCAUUGGGCGUAAAGGGCGCGUAGGCGGCGGGGUAAGUCGGGUGUGAAAUCUCAGAGCUCAACUCUGAAAUGGCACUUGAUACUGCUCUGCCAGAGGACUGGAGAGGAGAUUGGAAUUCACGGUGUAGCAGUGAAAUGCGUAGAUAUCGUGAGGAAGACCGGUGGCGAAGGCGGAUCUCUGGACAGUUCCUGACGCUGAGGCACGAAGGCCAGGGGAGCAAACGGG
rnacentral:rRNA from 1 species